GGAACAAACAGAGCCUUCACUGGAGAAAAGGCAAUCGUGACCAGUUUUUACCUUUUCAGCUGGCUAACGGAGCAACAUUGACUAUAAUCUUUAUCAUUUCAGCGGGUGAUACGAGCAACCACUUUACAUUUUCUGGAGCUAAACUUCAAGUCAGUACAGGAACAACUCUUGACAAGUCAACCACACCAAGCUACACUCUUGUUGUUAAUGCCGUAGACGAUGAUAGCUCACCGCUGACUGGGACUGCAACAGUUACCGUGACAGUGGGUGAUUGCAACAGCGCGUCAGGAGCACAGAUAACUGGAUGGACUGUUCCAGCUAUCACUGGAGCAAGUGGAACAGGGGCAAUUACAUUUCCCGAGGAUCAAGCUACGGGUGCAACAUCAACUACAUUUUCAGCCACUCCAUCUUCUGGCGCAAUUGCUUCCUACACUCUACUGACUGCUGGAACUCCUUUCUCGAUAACCUCAUCUUCUGGUCUCCUAAAUUUAGAUAGUGCACUUGAUUUUGAAACGACCGCAAGCUACACAAUCGAAAUUCUUGCAGUUGAUGAUAAUAAAACACCACAUUCUGGAACUGCAACUGUUUAAAUUACCGUUACAGACGUGAAUGAGGCCCCGACAUUUAGUGCCAAAUCAUUCACAGCUUGCGUUGCUGAUGCAUCUACAGCU